rnacentral:rRNA from 1 species
UACGUAGGGGGCAAGCGUUAUCCGGAUUUACUGGGUGUAAAGGGAGCGUAGACGGUAAUGUAAGUCUGAUGUGAAGGCCCGGGGCUCAACCCCGGGACUGCAUUGGAAACUAUGUAACUAGAGUACCGGAGAGGUAAGCGGAAUUCCUAGUGUAGCGGUGAAAUGCGUAGAUAUUAGGAGGAACACCAGUGGCGAAGGCGGCUUACUGGACGGAAACUGACGUUGAGGCUCGAAAGCGUGGGGAGCAAACAGG